AUACGUAGGGGGCGAGCGUUGUCCGGAAUGACUGGGCGUAAAGGGCGCGUAGGCGGCCCGGUAAGUCUGGAGUGAAAGUCCUGUUUUUAAGAUGGGAAUUGCUUUGGAUACUGUCGGGCUUGAGUGCAGGAGAGGUAAGUGGAAUUCCCAGUGUAGCGGUGAAAUGCGUAGAGAUUGGGAGGAACACCAGUGGCGAAGGAGACUUACUGGACUGUAACUGACGCUGAGGCGCGAAAGUGUGGGGAGCAAACAGGAUUAGAUACCCUGGUAGUCCACACUGUAAACGAUGAAUGCUAGGUGUAGGGGGUAUCGACCCCUUCUGUGCCGCAGUCAACACAAUAAGCAUUCCACCUGGGGAGUACGACCGCAAGGUUGAAACUCAAAUGAAUUGGCGGGG
rnacentral:rRNA from 1 species